UCCACUUGGAGGAGACAAGAGAAGAGGAA
rnacentral:piRNA from 1 species